rnacentral:lncRNA from 1 species
CCAGCUGCGACCUCGUCUGCACAGGCCUCCCCGCCUGUUAUGGUUCCUGUACAAGUUUCAAAAGGUCCUGUCAAUGUCAUUAAAAUCCUUCAGAAGGCUGGCGGCUUUGCGGUCUUUAUCCGUCUUAUAAAAUCCACUCAAGAGGACAUCCAAGUAUUCUCCCAGCUCAAUGACUCGAGAGAUGGUGUCACCAUCUUUGCCCCUACUGAUGGGGCCUUUUCAGCCAUUAUCAAAUCAGGCGUUCUUAACUCCCUAAGUGAUCAUCAGAAGAUUGAGUUGGUGCAGUUUCAUAUUAUACCAAAAAUUCUUACAACUGCUAAUUUUCAGACUGUCAGUAACCCUAUAACGACACUGGCAGGAUCUGGUAGUCGUUUUGCUCUUAAUGUGAUAACCACAGAAAAUAUGGUGAACGUAACUUCAGGACUUACCAAUACAAGCGUAUCGGCAAUUGUAUACACUGAUAGCCAGCUUGCUGUCUAUCAGGUCGACAAGGUGCUACUUCCUUUAGAUAUUUUUGCCCCUAAAGCUCUUGCUCCUGCACCAGCACCACCAAAGCCUAAAAAGGAUGAUGGUGCAGACACUCCUAUGGUUCCAAAGGAUAUUUCUGGUGCAGUAAGCUGUGUCAUGCUUAAUACUAUGCUUAUCUCCGGAGUUAUCAUAGUUGCUGCAGCUUUUCCUUUGUGACCCUGGUGUUUUGACAAGGUAUCAAUUUCUUCAUCAGUGGUUCAUGAUUCUGCUGGUUGUAAUGAACUGUGGUGUUUAACAGGUUCAUUGCUUUGAAUAAUUGUCAUUUCCUCUCAAUUCUAUUUGUGUUCUUCCAAGUUUGUAAAUAACUCUGCCUUUGAUUUUUAUUUUUAUUUAUUGGUUAUUGCUCUUAUUCUGCUUUCAUGUAUUCUGUGGAAUUGUAAUUUAUAUCAGAGAAAAAGAAAUAUAAUGUUGAUGUGCUUUGAUUUUUCAAUCCUACAUUAAUUUGGAAGCAAUCAAAUUAACAUCUUGAAAUUCACAUUUAUAUUAUAAAAUCACCUCUCUGCAUCAAAGCAUCUCCUCAAACACUGUAACAAAUGGCCAGAAAAUUUCUGCUGCUGUGAUGCAAUGUACACAAUCAAACCAUGAACCAAGUAAGCUUUAUCAACUCUCCAUUGAAGACAGUUAGAAAAACCAAAAGAUUGCGACUUAAGUUUUUCUAGACCUUGUAUCGAUGCUUGUGCCGACUCCAACAUCUUUUUAGUAUAACUGAUCGAAAGUGCCUCGUCGCUAGAAACUACAUGGUUGAUACCUUUCUGCUACAUUUGUUAAUCUUCAACUUCAGAAGUUAGCUGUAAACUAGGAAUUAAAGACAAGGUUAUAUCCCUGGAAGAAACAACAUGGUAAUGUUAUCCUUGAAAUUACACGAUUGACUUUAGACAAAUAUUGGACGAAAAUUUUUUCCAAAUUCAACUACUCCAUUUCACUUGAAACACCUGCAAACUACCAACAGUAGAUGCAACUACGAAAGGAGGAAAGCGAGAAAUCAUCAGCCAAAGGAGCAAAAAAUCCUAGCACCAUAAAUGAUUAAAAUCCACUUGGAGGAGCAUAAAAAGGUUUAAGGAUGAAGCACAUUAGUGCUACAUAACAUGAACUUAAUCAUACAAAUAUUACAGGAAAAAUUAGCAUUCAUAACCUUUUUGCAUACAGAUUCUUCUUCUUGUUAUUCCUGAAGAGUACAAGCUGAAGUUCUUCCUGAUGACAAGAAAGCACAUAAUUUAAUGAUAUCAGAAUACAUGAUUGUAUACAUGUAACAUAUGAGAGAUCAUUACAUGAACCUGGUCUAUUGGACGACAAAGCCAAUCAUAUUUUCUGGAUUUGCAGCACCAACUGGUUAUAAAAAGUAAGGUCCACUGCUUGAACCAAUUAAAGCUGUUUUGGUCCUUUGGACAGGAUUCUUGUAAUAAUUUAUCGAUCAUAAAAGAUAUGUUUUGCAAGACAUGGAACUAAAAGUAGGCAAUCUGAAUCCAGCUAAAGCUGAAACUGUUAAUUAUGAAAAGCUGCGUUGUUUUUCUUUCUUUUUGUUUCCCAAACAACAUGGUGCUUGCAUGUUAUUCUUUCAAUGCCAAUAAAUCUGUCAAUGGUUCCGUUCAGAAAACUCAGAACCAACCACACCGGAACCCAAAAUACAGGAACCAAUCCUUGUACUCUCUAUCUAUUUAUAUCUCUGUAUGCCCUAAGACUAAAAGCAACAAUAGUGGAAAAUAACUGGAAUAUCCGUUCAAGCAUAUCUAUGAGGCACGCGGAGGCAACUUGCACUCAGGAAUUCUCAAGAAUGAGCUUGUUCACAACGAAUACUCACAAGGUGCUUCAGCAGCAAGAGCCGUCAACUCCUCAUUCCCCGGUGUGUCUAGUUCUCUUUGAUUGUUAGCAGCCCCAUGAAGACAACGAGCACAAGUCACUCAGAAAAUUUCUUGGCAAUCAGUAGGAUCAUGCCAAUGGUACUAUUUUUCACCAGCAAUUCCCAAAAGAAAAAAUCCUAGAUUGAAAUAAUAGCUUAGAUCAAGUAUUUGCAGCCAUUAACCUGCUGAUUCUAACUACUGAGGCUAAGAACACAAAACGAAGGCAUAGAUUUGGUCAUGGUCACAUUGAUCACAACAUUUCUAGUGAUUUUUUUUUUCACAUUUAUCUCCUGUAUGCUUAUCUCAAAUUUCCAGUCACUUUGCAACAGAUUGUUUUUUUUUUUUUUUUGUUCUGUCCAUUAUUUUUUCCCCUGGAAAACAUGAUACAUUUGGUGAAGCAUCACACAGAAAGUUGAUUGAUAAAGCUAUCCUUCCUGUUUGACACAGACAGAGCUCAUUUCAACAAUCAUGCACAUCUUUAACACAAUCUCCCCUCCUACUUUUCGAGAAAACUAGUUGCUGCUGAAGUAGCUGCUAUGUUUGUGAAACUGAAAUUACACAUUUCACCUAAUCUCAUCCUCUCACAACCAUAAUAAAAACCCUCACUAUCCUCUCUUUGCACAUCAAGCAUUUGAACAGGUAGUAUUGGCAUAUUUCUAUUAGCAAUUCUGCAUAGCAACAAUACAUCCCAAAAACCACACAAAGAUGAAGCAACAAAUUUCCCUCUUCUCAUUUUCACUUGUCCUUCUCUUCCUCCACUGCACCCAAACUCUAUCCCAGUCUCCUACUUCAGCACCAGCAAAAGCACCUACUGCAGCCUCUGCACCUCCACCAGCUGCAACCUCGUCUGCACAGGCCUCGCCGCCCGUUAUGGUUCCUGUACAAGUUUCGAAAGGUCCUGUCAAUGUCAUUAAAAUCCUUCAGAAGGCUGGCGGCUUUGCGGUCUUUAUCCGCCUUAUAAAAUCCACUCAAGAGGACAUCCAAGUAUUCUCCCAGCUCAAUGACUCGAGAGAUGGCGUCACCAUCUUUGCCCCAACCGAUGGGGCCUUUUCAGCCAUUAUCAAAUCAGGUGUUCUUAACUCCCUAAGUGAUCAUCAGAAGAUUGAGUUGGUGCAGUUUCAUAUUAUACCAAGAAUUCUUACAACUGCCAAUUUUCAAACUGUCAGUAACCCUAUAACGACACUGGCAGGAUCUGGUAGUCGUUUCGCUCUU